rnacentral:lncRNA from 1 species
ACAGAGAAAUUGAAUGUCAAAAUAUAAUAGAAACUACCUCUGGAAUGAUACUGUCAAGACCAUUAAUGAGUUCUUGCAUCAAGUUAGCAGUGUCCCCAAAAUAGAAGCUGGAGCUGAGCCAAUGAGUCCAACAGAAGAAGAGCCUGUUUCAGAUAUAAAGAUAGGACCUUCACCAUCAAACACCAUACAAGAAACAGUAAUGAGGCUGUCACUAUCAAAACCUUACCUUGGCUACCCAUAAUCGCAUCCCCAUUGCCUUCAUUGUUAACCAUAUAGUUACCUCUCUUAGGCACAAGUAGACACGUUAUGGGUAACAGUACAUAACUCCCAUCUCCUACAUCUUUAACCACUCCAUCCGUACCACC